CACCCUUUAGACUUCCAAUGCUUCUGGCUUUAAUAUUCUGUGCUAGAUUCACAGAGCUCCUCUACAGAUGCUAAGCGUUCAAUCCUGAAGGCUCCACUUCAUCAUCAGGGGUCCUUCAGCAGCCAUCAUUAUCCCAUGCCAACUGCCCUCUUCGUUUGCCUACUGACAACCAGUGUCCUUUCCUAAAAUGGGACUUCAGAGGGAAAGGAAGAUAUGUUUUACAACAUGGUUUAUGAUAUGUUUCAUGACAUUUCUAAUGCUUGAAGAAUUCAACACUUUGCAGAAACUCUUCUGGAUCACCUAUGCUAAAAGUUUAUUCACACCAAGAUUUCAGCCAGGUCUCAAACAAGGAACAAUCAGUAUCAUCCAUGAAUUACCUUUGGAAAAGAACUAG
rnacentral:lncRNA from 1 species